GAUACCAAGAUAUUGACAUUUAUUCAUUUUGUUAGCCAUGGCCGCCAUUUUUAAAGAUGGCAUCCAAUCACCAAAAUUAGAAAUGUGACCUCCCAGCUAACUUUCAUCCUGAGCAUCCGGAGUGGGUACACGUGUGCCCCCAGCACACGUGUGCCCCUUGUACUUACCAGAAGCAGCAGAGGCAGAGGCAGUGGCAGCGGUGGUGAAUCCUCAAAAGGUAAGUGGGGCAGGGAAGCUGGCACAGCUGUAGAGGAUCCGUAGGGGAACCCCCCCAGAUCCCUCUUAACUGAGCUAGCAAGGAGCUGCACUCCUGAGCCAUGCGCAAAUACAGCAUGCAAACUGGCACAUUCUGUGCAGUGCAGGUGGGCAGUCAGCUAGGGAGGGACUUCCCCCUGUGUGAGGUGGCACUGCCUGGAGGCUGAUCCCUGGGGCAGCAGCUUCAGCCACCUCAGGAACUGGACCUUUCCCUGUCUGAGGGAGACACAGGGGGCGGGGCUGUGGCAGGUUGUGUGGCGGUCCAGUAGGGGGUGCUCCUGUGUUGAGCCACCCACCUCACUGCACCUGACCACUUUCCAGGCUCUGAGUGUCUCCCUGAGGGCACCGCACGUCUGUCUGACUCCCUUCCUGGAGCAAACCUGCUAGCCUGGGGGUAACACUGCCACCACCCAGGGAUGGCCUUGGUUCUGGCUCUGUGCACCCUGGGAAACACAGGCCUAGUAGCCCUCAAGGGUACUUGAUUCACUUCAAGAACUUGGGAUGCUUCCCUCUGUCGGAAGCACCAGUAGUGGUUUCCCUUAGUCAGCUGAAGCAAGGGGACCCCAAGGCAUAAUCUAGACCCACACCCAAUAAGUUUCCCACACUAGGUACAAAGGAGAACUUUCUUGGUUACAAGGGGUAGGGUUGGAAUAGGGUACAGGGUAGAGCAAUAUCAGAGAAAUCCCAUAGAGCAAAUUGUCAUGGCUGGGUAGCCUUUGAUCACACAUCUGAGUUACUGCAAGCUAUAUAUCUAGUUAGAUCUCAGGUAGCUUACUCACAAGUAUCAUCCAGAGGCAGGUGGAGACUCCCUCUGGAGGCAGGCAGUUCCUUGAUCACGAGUUUUGAGAGAGAGAGCAAGUUUCAGAUGGUCCAGCUCUUCUCAUUCUCUGAGUCUUCCUUAUGGCUCAUGCCCCCUCCUCCUGGGCAGUCCUUAACUUAUAUAGCCAUUAUGACCUCAUUUACCUGGUCCAAUGGAGGCCAGCACCUGUUGGCUAUCAGCCAACCAAUUUGAAAUGCAUCACUAGUUGCUGGGCAGACUGGCAGUUCCUAGCUCCCCAGGGAGCCCAAACCCCUCACCCAGGUAUGCGAUGCCAGUCAUGUAGGCAGAGGGAGCAGGUUUCCCCACUCCCUCAGGAAUGUAUGCAGCUCAGGUUACCUAAAGAGCUAGGGUAAGUUGUGUAUCCUCUGCAGGUUCCAUCUGAACAAAAUUGUCACAGAGCAGAGUUUUUGGGGAGAAACAGAGGUGGCCUUCUGCCUCAGGGUGUUCCAGGGAAGCCGGGAGCGGCCUGAUUGGCUGAGCCAGGCCACAGCAGAGUGAUUGACUGCUGGGCCGGUGUGAGUAAUUCAAACCAUGGCCUUUAAAAGCCAUGGUUUGAUAAAGCCUCUGGCAGUUGGGGCUUGAGUCCGGAGUGGGCGGACGUGUGCCCCCUGUACUGACCAGCAGCAGUAGAGGCAGAGGCAGCGGCAGCAGAUCCUCUAAGGGUAAGUGGGGCAGGGAAGCCAGCACAACUAUAGAGGAUCCAGAAGGAAAGCCCCCCAGAUCCCUCUUAACUGAGCCGCCAGGGAGCCACACUCCUGAUCCACAUGCGAACAGAGUGCACAAACAGUCACGCUCUGUAAGAGUGCCAGUGUUUGCUCAAGGCGGGUGUGCAGCAGGAGCCAGGAAGGAGUCUCCAGCAAGACAGAGAUGAAGACUCACAGCUCCAUGGACAUGGUAAGAACAUGGGGAGUGGCUGCUAGGGACUGCACCCCGGUGGUAGGGACAUGGAGGGCAGCCACUGGGGACUCUGCCCUGGUGGUGCUACCUACCCUGGGUUCCUCUGAGGCCUCCACUGAGAUGGAGCCGAUGGUGGGGUCAGUGGGGUCUUCUCUUACAGGCUGGCUGAUCUCAUAUGGUGUGCUUUAGACUAGCUUCACCGGGGGAUGGGGCCACAGGGGGACACGAGGACACUUCCCAGCCAAGACAGGUGAUGAGCACAAGAAGUACCCAGAGACUGGGACAUCCCACCAACUUGAAUUCCGGACGGACUCAGGAGAGGUACAGCCAGGUCUAGGGUCAGAGAGGACCUAGUUAGGAAACUUCUGUUGGGGCUGGAUGUGUUCAAAUCAGCAGGUCCACAUGAUUUCCACCACAGGGUACUGAGGGAAUUGGCAGAGGUCAUUGAGGAACCCCUGGCAUGGCUUUACGAGCACUCAUGAUGCUCUGGCCAGGUGCCAGAGGACUGGAAAAGGGCCAAUGUGGUCCCCAUUUUCAAAAAGGGGAGGAAGGAGGACCUGGGAAACUAUAGGGAUGUUAGUCUUACCUUGGUCCUGGGGAAGCUCUUUGAGAAAAUUAUCCAGGGGCACAUCUGUGAGGGACCAACAGGGGAGGUUAUGCUUAGGGGCAACCAACAUGGGUUCAUUAGGGGCAGGUCCUGUCAGACUAACCUGGUUGCCUUCUAUGACCAGGUCAAAAAAUCCUUAGAUGUAGGUGUUGCAGUGGAUGUAGUCUUUCCGGACUUUAGGAAGGCCUUUGACACUGUCUCUCACCCCAUUCUCAUUAAAAAAUUAGGUGACUGUGGCAUCGAUGCCUGCAUAGUCAGAUGGAUUGCUAAUUGGCUGGAGGGCUGCAUCCAGAGAGUGGUGGUGGACAGAAACAACAGCCACAAGUUGACUGAGAAGACCCUGAGGGAUGGCAGACAAAAGACAGAGGAAGCAGGAGCAGAACAUGGGAAGCAGCAGCGGAGCUCAGAUGCACCAGGAGCGGGGGAACGAGUGGCGAGAGACUCCAGAUGAGUGACAAAAGCCAGGACUGUUGGACAGGACAUGGGCAUGUUGACAGCAAUUGAGUACUCUCAGGGCUAGAGGCUGGUUUGGGACACCUCUGAAGUAGUGGGUGAGUACAAGGUUCAUGGAGUGUCUGUACUUCAGAACUACUGUGUGUUAUGAGUUACUUGUUCUUGAGUGAAUACAUCACAUUGUUACUGUUUAUUAUGUUAUUCAGCUUCUAAGUGUAUGUAAUUUAAUGUUAGUGUGUACCUUAGUGUUUACCUACUUGUAUUUAUUUUUCCCUAGCCUGUUGGUUUGUGACUGUAACCCGAGCCAUUUUCCAUAUAAAAUUGGGAACCUUG